AGUAAGGUCAGCUAAUCAAGCUUCCAGGUUCAUACCCUUGCCAUAGAGGUUAAAGUCCUCUCUUUACCA
rnacentral:tRNA from 1 species